GAUGUGGUGGCUGAGUGAUUAAAGCGAUGGACUACUAAUCCAUUGUGCUCUGCACAUGUGGGUUUGAAUCCCAUCCCCAUCG